rnacentral:tRNA from 5 species
CGCGAAGUAGUGUAAAGGUAACAUAUCGGUCUCAUGAUCCGAAGUCACUAGGUUCAAUUCCAGUCUUCGCUU